UGCAGUCGAGCGGCACAGACAGGAGAGACUCUGUCGUCUCCUGUAUGUUGGCGGCUGACGGAUGGGUAACACAAUGGGUAACCUGCCUGUAAGACUGGGGGAACUCCGGGAAACCGGGGCUAAUACCGGAUGCUUGAUUGAACCGGUGGGUUCAAUUAACAAAGGUGGCUUUCGCCUUCGACUUACCCAUGGACCGACGGCCCAUUUGCUGGUGGGUAAGGUAACGGCUGCCACAGGCAACAAUUCGUAUCCGACGAGAAAGGGUGAUCGUCCAACUGGGACCUGAUCCACAGCCCAAACGCCUGCGGGAGGCGGCAAUAGGGAAUCUUCGGCACUGGCCUAAUCUCUCACGAACCAACGCCUCAUGAUUGAUUAAGGUUUUCGAAUCCUUAAACUUGGUUGUUAGGGAAAAACAGUUACCAUUCGAUUGGGGUGGUACUUUGCCGGUACCAAACCAAAACGCACUGGCUACCUACUUCCCAGCUACCACGGUAGGACCUAGGUGGACUCCGUUUUCCGGAAUUUUUGGCCUUAAUACGUGCUCAUGCGGUUCCUUAGUUCUAAUGUGAAGCCCCCCGGCUCAACUGGGGAGGGUCCUGGGAAACUGGGGAACUUGAGUGCGUAACAGAAUACUGGAUUUCCCCGUGUAACGGUGAAAUGCGUAGAGAUGUGUAGGAACACCAGUGGCCAACGUGACUCUCUGCUCUGUAACUGACACUAAGGCGUGAAAGCGCUGAGAAGAUAACAUGAUCAGAUACCUCUGGUACUCAACCCAUUAAACCAGGAUGGCUGAAGUUGUAAUGAGGGUCUCCGCCACCUUAGUCGCUGCCACGCUAAACGUCUUCAGCACUGCGACUGCGGGUAGUCACGGAUCUGCAAGACUGAAAGCUACUAACGAAGUUGCCCGGGGCACCCGC
rnacentral:rRNA from 1 species